rnacentral:rRNA from 1 species
AACCAAGAAGAUUAAGUCAUGCAUUUUUGGUAAAAAGACAGUUAAGCAAUAGAAAGUUUUUUUAAUUAUUAUUAAGAAGUAAAAUUCGCAAAUAAUUUAGAAACUUGUUCAAAACUAAAAAGCUGAAGCUGUGACAUCCUUGAGGGAAACUGGGAUUAGAUACCCCACUAUUCUUGGAGGUAAAAAAACGAAAGUUUACCAGAGUACUAUGGAUCAAUGAAAUUUAAAACUCAAAGAGCUUGGCGGUGUUUUAGACUCUUUAGGGGAACCUGUCUCAUAAUCGACAAUCCACGUAAAACCUGACCUUUAUUUGUUUUCAGUUUGUAUACCGUCGUCGUCAGGUAACUUUUUAGAAUAUAGAAGUUAGCAAAAGAGCUGUAAAUGAGCUCUUACGUCAGAUCAAGGUGCAGCCAACAUAAAGGGGAGGAUGGGUUACAAUUAUAAAAGUUAUAAUUACGGAAUAACAACCUAAAAUAGUAGUUAUGAAGGAGGACUUAAAAGUAAAAUAUAAUAUAUAAACAUAUUGAAUUGAGCUCUGAAACGUGC